AUGCCGGCCUGUAACGGCCGGCAUGGCGUUAAGGAAAGUCCGGGCUCCUUGGGUUGGGUGCGGCUAACGCCGCAUGCAGCGAUGCAUACGCCCAUGAAGGCACAGCGCAGCUGGGCUGAAGCCCGGCAUGGUGAGAGCGCAAGGCGCGCGGCAGGAAGCCUGCAGCAAUGGCGCCCCCCUGGAGUAACCCUAGACAGGCAGCGCGCCGGAGGCACUGCGCGCACCAGCGCUGGACCUGCAGGUAAGGGGCUUAGAGGGAUGAUUCUGACACAGAAGCCGGCUUAUCACCGCCACAU
rnacentral:misc_RNA from 1 species